rnacentral:misc_RNA from 1 species
CACCACUCAAGCCUGGCUUGGUAUUGGGCGGUAGGGCUCCCCUACGCCUCAAUUUCACCGGCUGGACAACCCGUAUCUCAGCGUUGUGGCAUUCAAUUCGCUGGCGAGAAGGGCGGUCCGCGCCGCUAAAAUUUCUAUCAAA